ensembl:lncRNA
GGGGCUGUGGUGGAAGACGGUUUGCAGACUAUCUUAUGGCAUUUUCAUUUUUUCUAGUGUUUUAUCAGAGGAUCCAUAUGUUUUAAGCACCAGUUCCUCAGUGGAAGACAUGAUGACUCUGGAGUUUGUUGCUGUGUGGCCUGAACAUUUUAAAGUGAACGAACCGUUUGGCAAGAUUGUUGCUGCAGCCUACAGUCAUCCCGGGACAUACCAAGAAUUGGCUAGGAUGGAAAGAAGGCUCAAGAAUAACUACGGGUUCCUUAUCGUAGGCCACGCAAAAAUUCCUGCUUCUAAUCUACAAAGCAGACAACCCAUCUAUUAUAAAUAUGGGGUUAUUGACACCUACGUUGAUCCAAGAAGAAUUCAACUAGAGCAUAUUUAUAAAACAGUGCAAAAAACUGAAAAGUCUGAGUCCCAUCGAGUUCUAACUGUGCCUGAUUCAGCCAUCAGACCAGGAGGAGUGUGGACCCAAUUUGAUGACAUCUGUCAGUCUCCAGAAAAGUCCUGGUUUGGCUUUUUAUCAAGAGGAAAGUCCAAAGAGAAUGCUAGUGAGUCUAUCCUGCAAUUCCUGGAAAAUGAGCUACACCAAGAACUUUCUCUCCGAAAGGACAUCGGUGAUGUGGAAAGGAAGCUUGACUGCUACAAGGAGUGCUUCAAAACCAGCAACAUUGGUGAUGCCGAGCAAAAAAUAAAUGAUCAUGAAACUGACUUUGAUGAGAGAAAGGUGUAUGAUUACAUCCGCAAAUUCAUUGAAAACGUACUCAGAAAUCCCAGAUUUCGGCAUCCUACCAUUUCAGCGAUGGAUGUUCUCCUCUUUGUGUUAUGCACAGUAGUUCACCACAGUAUCCAUAUAAGUGCAGAGGCCAUGAGCAAGAUUGAACAAAUGGCCCAAAAUGUUGGCUCGCAGGAAGGCAAAUUCACCAACCUGAAAGAACCAAGAAAAAGCAAAUGUAUUUUGGCUCUGAAACAUGUUUGCAUUCAAAGCGCCAAAGACUCUAAGAGCACGUGUUGGGUCUGGCUGCUUCCUUUGCUGUAUGAAAUUCAAAGGGAAUCAUUUGAAAAGGCAGAGGACCCUUUACCUUCAAAAGACAUGCGGUUGCUGCCUUUCGCUCAGCUGAGGAAGGAUGGAGAGAAGCAAAUGAAAGUUCUGGCAAUGAUAAACGCCCAUCAGACCUUCAUCGGGAGCUGCACUCCUCUGGCAGAGAAAGUCAUUGAGAUGCUUGCCCUGAAGAAUUUUUGUAGAGAGCCUGUUCCUCACAUUCAUUUGCCACUGCAGCUUCUCUUGGACAACGUCUACCAGCGGAUCACCAGUCGCCUAGCAGAUGGUCGUGGAAUAAACUCGUUUCAGGAAAGUGAUGUCAAUGUAGUUUUGAAGGACAUUGUCAGAAGGACAAAGGCUUGGCUUGGUACCAGACAUCAGACAGGAAAUGCAGAGGAUGUUUUGCAGCCAAAGGAGUUGGAGGAUGUUCUGCAGUGCCUUAAUUUAACACUCACCUUGGUCACAAAGUUCUUGAAACACCCAAAGAAAAUAUCAUUCAGCCCCGUGAUAACAUCACUGCAGAUUUUGGAAUUGUUCUCUAGAACAGAAGAUUUACUGCAAACCAAAAGGGAGUUUCAGGACCUUAAGCAGACCCAUGGGCCCAAGGAAUUUAUGAGUGUAGCAGAAUCAUGGAUCCAGGAGUUAUUUCCCAAACUGUCUGAACAGGAAAAAUUCUUUUUUGAUGAUAUUGACAAAUGGCAACAGCUCAUUUCCACUGAGUUAUUCUGUGAUAAGUGGACCCGGGACUGGCGAAAACUUAUUAAAACUUUGUUUGCGGAGUGCAUAAUAAAGGUGAACCAUAAACAUCUGUUUGAUUACUACUUGACUUUCAUUAACGUUAAAAAGUACCAAGAUUCAGAACUGGAAAACUGCUUUUCACAACACAUCAUUCAGAGUAUCAAAAGGCUGACAAAAAGCAAGAAGUCAGGGUUGAAAGAAAUUCUUCGCAAAUUUUCAAAGACGAACAAGCCAAUUCUUGCACAAAUCAUAUCUACUGUCAUUGAAAAUAUGUGGACUGAAGAAUUGAAUCAAAUAGAGAAUGCUAACCGGUUUGAAAAGAACACAGCCGACGUUCUCAUACAGCUACUCAACUCCUCCAUGGGCUUGGAUAUUAUCUCAGCUGUCAAAAAUUUGAAGCCCGAGGUUCAAAAUCAAAUCAGCAGAGAUGCACGACAGUUGCUUUCAAAAGUGUCUGAGUUGUUCUCCUUUGUGGGUCGUAGUAUAUUUUCGGGAGACGUCUCAUUCAAUGUACUAUCUGCCAUUCUAAACCACACGGAGGAAUUUGCCAAGAUGCUGACUCUCAUUGGUGAGUUUGCAGCUUCAUACUUUUAUUCCUAAGAAGCUCCUUAAACAUAUUAAUUUUUAUGUAACAC